rnacentral:rRNA from 1 species
UUAAAUUGAAGAGUUUGAUCAUGGCUCAGAUUGAACGCUGGCGGCAGGCCUAACACAUGCAAGUCGAACGGUAACAGGAAGCAGCUUGCUGCUUCGCUGACGAGUGGCGGACGGGUGAGUAAUGUCUGGGAAACUGCCUGAUGGAGGGGGAUAACUACUGGAAACGGUAGCUAAUACCGCAUAACGUCGCAAGACCAAAGAGGGGGACCUUCGGGCCUCUUGCCAUCGGAUGUGCCCAGAUGGGAUUAGCUUGUUGGUGGGGUAACGGCUCACCAAGGCGACGAUCCCUAGCUGGUCUGAGAGGAUGACCAGCCACACUGGAACUGAGACACGGUCCAGACUCCUACGGGAGGCAGCAGUGGGGAAUAUUGCACAAUGGGCGCAAGCCUGAUGCAGCCAUGCCGCGUGUAUGAAGAAGGCCUUCGGGUUGUAAAGUACUUUCAGCGGGGAGGAAGGGAGUAAAGUUAAUACCUUUGCUCAUUGACGUUACCCGCAGAAGAAGCACCGGCUAACUCCGUGCCAGCAGCCGCGGUAAUACGGAGGGUGCAAGCGUUAAUCGGAAUUACUGGGCGUAAAGCGCACGCAGGCGGUUUGUUAAGUCAGAUGUGAAAUCCCCGGGCUCAACCUGGGAACUGCAUCUGAUACUGGCAAGCUUGAGUCUCGUAGAGGGGGUAGAAUUCCAGGUGUAGCGGUGAAAUGCGUAGAGAUCUGGAGGAAUACCGGUGGCGAAGGCGGCCCCCUGGACGAAGACUGACGCUCAGGUGCGAAAGCGUGGGGAGCAAACAGGAUUAGAUACCCUGGUAGUCCACGCCGUAAACGAUGUCGACUUGGAGGUUGUGCCCUUGAGGCGUGGCUUCCGGAGCUAACGCGUUAAGUCGACCGCCUGGGGAGUACGGCCGCAAGGUUAAAACUCAAAUGAAUUGACGGGGGCCCGCACAAGCGGUGGAGCAUGUGGUUUAAUUCGAUGCAACGCGAAGAACCUUACCUGGUCUUGACAUCCACGGAAGUUUUCAGAGAUGAGAAUGUGCCUUCGGGAACCGUGAGACAGGUGCUGCAUGGCUGUCGUCAGCUCGUGUUGUGAAAUGUUGGGUUAAGUCCCGCAACGAGCGCAACCCUUAUCCUUUGUUGCCAGCGGUCCGGCCGGGAACUCAAAGGAGACUGCCAGUGAUAAACUGGAGGAAGGUGGGGAUGACGUCAAGUCAUCAUGGCCCUUACGACCAGGGCUACACACGUGCUACAAUGGCGCAUACAAAGAGAAGCGACCUCGCGAGAGCAAGCGGACCUCAUAAAGUGCGUCGUAGUCCGGAUUGGAGUCUGCAACUCGACUCCAUGAAGUCGGAAUCGCUAGUAAUCGUGGAUCAGAAUGCCACGGUGAAUACGUUCCCGGGCCUUGUACACACCGCCCGUCACACCAUGGGAGUGGGUUGCAAAAGAAGUAGGUAGCUUAACCUUCGGGAGGGCGCUUACCACUUUGUGAUUCAUGACUGGGGUGAAGUCGUAACAAGGUAACCGUAGGGGAACCUGCGGUUGGAUCACCUCCUUACCUUAAAGAAGC